AAUCGGAGUGUCCUAAUUUUCUCGGCGGACACUUAAUUCUAAUAAACGGCGGCAGAAAAUGAACUCUCUGUUCACCGCCUUCCGCCG
rnacentral:sRNA from 1 species